CAGGGAUUGCCCUAGUAACGGCGAGUGAAGCGGCAACAGCUCAAAUUUGAAAGCUGGCUCCGGCCCGCAUUGUAAUUUGCAGAGGAUGCUUUUGGUGAGGUGCCUUCCGAGUUCCCUGGAACGGGACGCCACAGAGGGUGAGAGCCCCGUAUGGAUGGACACCAAACCUGUGUAAAGCUCCUUCAACGAGUCGAGUAGUUUGGGAAUGCUGCUCAAAAUGGGAGGUAAAUCUCUUCUAAAGCUAAAUACCGGCCAGAGACCGAUAGCGCACAAGUAGAGUGAUCGAAAGAUGAAAAGCACCUUGAAAAGGGGGUUAAACAGUACGUGAAAUUGUUGAAAGGGAAGCGUUUAUGACCAGACUUGCGUCGGGCAGCUCAUCAGGGGUUCUCCCCUGUGCACUCUGCCCGGCUCAGGCCAGCAUCGGUUCUCGUGGGAGGAUAAGAACGGUAGGAACGUGGCCCCCUCUCGGGGGGGUGUUAUAGCCUGCCGUACGAUACUCCCGUGGGGACCGAGGUUCGCGCUCCGCAAGGAUGCUGGCGUAAUGGUCAUCAACGACCCGUCUUGAAACACGGACCAAGGAGUCGUCCAUUAGAGCGAGCGUUUGGGUGUAAAACCCGCACGCGUAAUGAAAGUGAACGCAGGUGAGAGCUUCGGCGCAUCAUCGACCGAUCCUGAUGUUCUCGGAUGGAUUUGAGUAAGAGUUUUAACGGACGGACCCGAAAGACAGUGAACUAUGCUUGUAUAGGGUGAAGCCAGAGGAAACUCUGGUGGAGGCUCGCAGCGGUUCUGACGUGCAAAUCGAUCGUCAAAUAUGAGCAUGGGGGCGAAAGACUAAUCGAACUGUCUAGUAGCUGGUUACCGCCGAAG
rnacentral:rRNA from 1 species